rnacentral:rRNA from 1 species
UAGGGAAUCUUCGGCAAUGGACGAAAGUCUGACCGAGCAACGCCGCGUGAGUGAAGAAGGUUUUCGGAUCGUAAAACUCUGUUGUUAGAGAAGAACAAGGACGUUAGUAACUGAACGUCCCCUGACGGUAUCUAACCAGAAAGCCACGGCUAACUACGUGCCAGCAGCCGCGGUAAUACGUAGGUGGCAAGCGUUGUCCGGAUUUAUUGGGCGUAAAGCGAGCGCAGGCGGUUUCUUAAGUCUGAUGUGAAAGCCCCCGGCUCAACCGGGGAGGGUCAUUGGAAACUGGGAGACUUGAGUGCAGAAGAGGAGAAUGGAAUUCCAUGUGUAGCGGUGAAAUGCGUAGAUAUAUGGAGGAACACCAGUGGCGAAGGCGGCUCUCUGGUCUGUAACUGACGCUGAGGCGCGAAAGCGUGGGGAGCAAACAGG